UACGCAGAGAAAUGGCUGCCUUUGUUCCCAUCUUGUGGUCUAAGAUCAGAGAAGGGAACCCGCCAUUUUCAGUUCUGCAGUGUGGAAUGCAUACUAACUCUCUCCGUGAAGCUAAUGACCAGACUGACCAUAAUUUUUUGCAGCAUCAGGCUGUCACUGAGGGAGAUGCAUCUGUUGAGGAGGGUGUUGAAUCACUUAGAGAGCUGUAUGAAACACUGACGCUAAGGAAAUCCUUGAGCCUCGCUACAGAUCAGCUGAUAGAGUCAGAUGAAGUGCAGGAAACACAACCCAGUGACACAGCACUCCCAGCUGACAGCAGGGGACAGCAGCUCAGGGCAAACACCCCACUGAGACCGACUGACGUGUCGGAUGACACACAGUCGAGCAACAGUCCCCCACAGGAACAAAGUGUGGACAGCCAACAACAAGAGCUGGUUACUGCUGUGUCAGCACAACUUCAUGGUGAUGGUGAGAUCCUCCAACUAAAUGUCCGGGACGACCCAGCAGAGGCUCAGCACCACUCUAGUCAAAGUAGAGAUUGUGUGGGAAAGAAAACUCAAAAGCCUUCACUCAAAGCUAAACAGCAGCUGCUUAAAGCUCGUCUACUGCACGUCACAGAGAGCAGUCAACAAACCCAAUCACAUAUUCAGGCACUUGUCAGGAGCAACACUGUGGAGAAAAAACAGAAAGCUGAAUUCACCGUCAUCCCAGAGACAGUUCCACCACAGCAAGAGCAGCUUUCUGAACAGGAAG